CGCGGAGUGGAGCAGUUGGUAGCUCGUCGGGCUCAUAACCCGAAGGUCGCAGGUUCAAGUCCUGUCUCCGCAA
rnacentral:tRNA from 1 species